rnacentral:tRNA from 1 species
GCGGGUGUGGUGGAAUUGGCAGACACGCAAGAUUUAGGUUCUUGUGCGAAAGCGUGCAGGUUCAAGUCCUGUCACCCGCA